GCCACCCUCAUGAUGAUGUGUGAGUAGUUCACCACAGACCUACGAGUCCAUAGCCAGUACCUAGAUGGAAAUCGCUCUCUUUGAUAUUCAAUACCAUGAUCAUCGCAUCUUCGCUUUGAUCCAUAUGAUGUAAUUCCUUUUGUGCGGUGCGUUUGUUGGGAGCCGAUGAAUUGUGGGUUUAUGUUAUUCAUAUGAAAUAUUUG
rnacentral:lncRNA from 1 species